rnacentral:rRNA from 1 species
GUCGAACGAUGAUCCCAGCUUGCUGGGGGAUUAGUGGCGAACGGGUGAGUAACACGUGAGUAACCUGCCCUUAACUCUGGGAUAAGCCUGGGAAACUGGGUCUAAUACCGGAUAUGACUCCUCAUCGCAUGGUGGGGGGUGGAAAGCUUUAUUGUGGUUUUGGAUGGACUCGCGGCCUAUCAGCUUGUUGGUGAGGUAAUGGCUCACCAAGGCGACGACGGGUAGCCGGCCUGAGAGGGUGACCGGCCACACUGGGACUGAGACACGGCCCAGACUCCUACGGGAGGCAGCAGUGGGGAAUAUUGCACAAUGGGCGAAAGCCUGAUGCAGCGACGCCGCGUGAGGGAUGACGGCCUUCGGGUUGUAAACCUCUUUCAGUAGGGAAGAAGCGAAAGUGACGGUACCUGCAGAAGAAGCGCCGGCUAACUACGUGCCAGCAGCCGCGGUAAUACGUAGGGCGCAAGCGUUAUCCGGAAUUAUUGGGCGUAAAGAGCUCGUAGGCGGUUUGUCGCGUCUGCCGUGAAAGUCCGGGGCUCAACUCCGGAUCUGCGGUGGGUACGGGCAGACUAGAGUGAUGUAGGGGAGACUGGAAUUCCUGGUGUAGCGGUGAAAUGCGCAGAUAUCAGGAGGAACACCGAUGGCGAAGGCAGGUCUCUGGGCAUUAACUGACGCUGAGGAGCG